rnacentral:rRNA from 2 species
CUGGUGUCGGCCGCCACGGUAAUACCAGCACCCCGAGUGGUCGGGACGAUUAUUGGGCCUAAAGCAUCCGUAGCCGGUCCUACAAGUCUUCCGUUAAAUCCACCUGCUUAACAGAUGGGCUGCGGAAGAUACUAUAGGGCUAGGAGGCGGGAGAGGCAAGCGGUACUCAGUGGGUAGGGGUAAAAUCCUCUGAUCCAUUGAAGACCACCAGUGGCGAAGGCGGCUUGCCAGAACGCGCUCGACGGUGAGGGGUGAAAGCUGGGGGAGCAAACCGGAUUAGAUACCCGGGUAGUCCCAGCUGUAAACGAUGCAGACUCGGUGAUGGGUUGGCCUUGUGCCAACCCAGUGCCGCAGGGAAGCCGUUAAGUCUGCCGCCUGGGGAGUACGGUCGCAAGACUGAAACUUAAAG